UCUUCUGUAGCUCAGUUGGUUAGAGCGCUGCACGGGAAUCGCAGGGCCGCAGGUUCAAUUCCUGCCAGAAGAC
rnacentral:tRNA from 1 species